CUCUCGGUAGCCAAGUUGGUUUAAGGCGCAAGACUGUAAUGGUUAACAAGACAUCUUGAGAUCGGGCGUUCGACUCGCCCCCGGGAGA
rnacentral:tRNA from 1 species